CGGGCGGCAGACAGAGAGCUGGAGCACGGCCUCUGUGUUCACGCCGGUUACCUUCAUGAUGGAUCGCCGAGCACGCCCCUAGAUGGACUGCGUAGCCGGUCAUUCCAGUCUGCUGUUCGAUAGUUACUUUGUACCUUUGGACUUAAUCUACGUGGAACGGAAAUAUCACUAAGGUGAUGAAGACUGACCAGUUAGACUGGUCACUGGCGUCCACCAUAAAGAUGGCCACAACAAAUACAACCAGCCCCACUAUAGAUAAUUUGAUGGAAAACGACCACCACUGGCAACACGAGACUGGAAGUACAGACACUUGGAUUUAGGCUCCUGCCAAUGACACGGAAUACGAUCUCAAGUUACUCACUUGGCCUUUCCGAGCCCCAGUCUCCACUUCUGUCAAUUGUAGUUGGGACCUGAUGUGAAGAUGACCUCGUCCUGAGACUUCCGUACCGGCGACAGCCGGCAGUCAGGGAGCCAUCACUGUGCCUCGGGUGAACGCAUCUCCACCUCUCAGCGCCCUGUGGGCCCGGGCACCGUUACCUCCACUGGACGGAUGAGGAAGCAGAGCCACACAGCCGCCUCAGAGUUUGGUUCUCAAGCACAGAGCCAGAAAAGUCGUCACCAAAUGAGAGCUCUGCAUCCUCAAAAUCUUGUUUUGUAGCCAACUCUUUUCAGACGGAGCAACCACAGUGGUCAGAGCAAGGGGCUUGGAGUCAGACAGACGGAACCUGGUCCACCUCUUGUUAGUCACGUGACCUCAGGCAAGGCAGUUUGCUCUCCUGGGCCUCAUGUAUCAUUUCCAAAAUUGGGAUAAUAAUACUUUUCCCACAGGGUUAUGAUGAAAAUUAAAUGAGAUAAUAUAUACAAAGUACACUCACUACGGCAGAGGGAAUUGCUGUCAAAUUUAUUCUUCUUGUUAUACAACAGGUACAACAUUCCUUUGAAUUAUGUUCAGAUACAUUUCCAUGUCUCAUAAAUCUUAUUAACUGGCAACGUCUCACACUGUGAGGAAUAGGGCCCAAGUGCUUCAGAGAAGGGUCCCUGUCUGUUAGCACAGGAGACUGUUGCUUAUCUAUUUGUUUGAGAUUGAAACAAGAUAAUCUCAAAAGCCAAGUUUUGCUGAGAAAUAAGUGGUUUUUCAUUUCUUUUAGCUUUAUUCGUGUGCAGAGAAUCAGGCCUGAAUGUCUGGAAUGUAAAUUCCUUCCUUUGCAAAAGGGGGACACUUCUCUGAAGUCUCUCGCUGUCUGUCUGUCUGGACGGGACUUGGGACGGGUCGUGGAGGAAGUCGGGAUUACAGGAGGACGCACAGCACAGGGAGGCAGGCGGUCAGCGGGUUGCCUUUUCUCCCAGGACUGGGAGCAUGGAGGCACCUCGAGAGAGCCGGUGGGAGGAAGUACUUUCAGAAACACCUAGAGCAGGAAGCAUUGAAAACAGCAGGGUUCGUGGCCAGCAUCCUUGGUCUGGGUGUGAUGGGGGAGGCUGCAGGCCUCUGGGAGGGGCCCAGUUUGGGGCUAAUUGUCACACCUGGGUGGUGUGGGGACACAGGGCACGGAGGUGGCGGUGGCACGAGAAGGCCAGGUCCAUGUGCCUUGGCCACACCCGGGUUCCUGGUGCUCAAGGCGGCAGACACAUGCGGAAGAGUAAGCAGGGCACCAACGAGGCCAGAGAGCGGCCGAGGCCCGGGGUCAGAGAGCAGCGCAGGGUCUCCCACCCCAGAAACUGGUGACGGGAAGCAGGUUCCAGGAGUGGGUGCUGACGCGUGUCCUCACAAACUGUGACCGUUCCAGCUGCACCUCAGUGACCACAGGGCCAGGGAGCAAUCCAGGCCAGCAACCGCAUGGCCCAUCAGCGGGGAGCCCACACUGGAGGGUGGUCCGGGGACCUCCCCGCCCCUUCUUUUAGUGCCAGCUGGGAGGGGCAGGGAAAGAGCAGAACUCUGAAAGGCUGAAGCUUUUCCUGAGACAUCCAGGCAGAGACCACAGAGAUCAAGCCACGGGUCAGAUGGUGACGGGACUGCAGCGAAAUAGAGGGUAUUCCCUUCUGCCCCCAGGUGGAUGGUCCCCGGGUAGAGCAGGUAGACAUGGGACAGGAUGGAGUGCGGCUCCUGCAUACAUCUUGCCUCCCGUAAGGACCUGUGUGGGAUGCCUAAAAAUCAGUGGAUAGAAUGUAUUUACAUGAAGGAUUGGUUACAACCCCUACUAAAAUUACUAUUAAAAGUUGUCUUGGGGGCAAGGCCAUGAACCUACGAGAGAGGAAGAAGGUAGGAGUUUAGACUGUCAUGUGGAAAUGCAGAGAAAGAAAGAAUCAGUGUGGAGCUCCUGGCAUUCAAAAUAGGCUUUUCAGAUAUACAAUAAGACAGUAGAUCUGGAGGUCAGACUUUAUUAAGAAAAGAAAAUAUUUCCUGAAUUUAACACCUACCUUUAUCAUAUCAAGAGACAGACUUGGUGAACCAGGUCGUAGAAUCUUGCUCUGUGUCCGGGAUGGAGAAGAGAAAAGGGACAAAGAGAAGCCAAAAGGCUGCUCCUCCUGACUUGAGGGAUUUUGUGAGUAAUAAGAGAGAGAGAGAAAUGAGGGAGGUGAGAGGCCAGGUCCCGCCCUCCUUUACCA
ensembl:lncRNA